UGAAUGUAGUUUAAAGGUUAAAACGACAGAUUUCUGUUAUGGGGGUUAAAAUCCCUCCCGUUCUA
rnacentral:tRNA from 1 species